rnacentral:rRNA from 1 species
AUUGAACGCUGGCGGAAUGCUUUACACAUGCAAGUCGAACGGCAGCACGGACUUCGGUCUGGUGGCGAGUGGCGAACGGGUGAGUAAUGUAUCGGAACGUGCCCAGUCGUGGGGGAUAACGUAGUGAGAAUUACGCUAAUACCGCAUACGAUCUAUGGAUGAAAGCGGGGGAUCGCAAGACCUCGCGCGCUUAGAGCGGCCGAUAUCAGAUUAGGUAGUUGGUGGGGUAAAGGCCCACCAAGCCAACUAUCUGUAGCUGGUCUGAGAGGACGACCAGCCACACUGGAACUGAGACACGGUCCAGACUCCUACGGGAGGCAGCAGUGGGGAAUUUUGGACAAUGGGCGAAAGCCUGAUCCAGCCAUUCCGCGUGCAGGAUGAAGGCCCUCGGGUUGUAAACUGCUUUUGUACAGAACGAAAAGGUUUCUACUAAUACUAGGAGCUCAUGACGGUACUGUAAGAAUAAGCACCGGCUAACUACGUGCCAGCCGCCGCCGUAA